rnacentral:rRNA from 1 species
CCAGCACCUGCGGUAAUUCCAGCUCCAAUAGCGUAUAUUUAAGUUGCUGCAGUUAAAAAGCUCGUAGUCGGUUUUCGGGCGGGCUGCGCCGGUCUGCCUUUGGUAUGCACUGGCGUGACCCGCUUUUCUGCCGGGGACGGGCUCCUGGGCUUUACUGUCCGGGACCCGGAGUCGGCGCUGUUACCUUGAGUAAAAUGGAGUGUUCAAAGCAGGCAUACGCUCUGAACAUAUUAGCAUGGAAUAACGAUAUAGGACUCUGGCCUAUUCGUUGGUCUGUGGGACCGGAGUAACGACCAAUGGGGGCAGUCGGGGGCAUUCGUAUUUCGUUGUCAGAGGUGAAAUUCUUGGAUUUACGAAAGACGAACUGCUGCGAAAGCGUUUGCCAAGGAUGCUUUCGUCGAUCAAG